AUAAUGCCUUCCCAAACUCUAUGGAGGUGCCAGAAGUUGAGGACUCACAGAUGGGUGAAAUUCCUCAAGAGGUCCCAAAUUUUGAUCAACAUCUUCAGACACUGAGAGACCUGCUGAGUUCAGUCACCGUCCCAGUGUCAGCACAAGUGGAGGAGACACCCAGCAUGUCUGUGUGGACCAGGAGGCAGCUAACUUCAGAGAAAAAUUUCAAGGCUGCGUUGCCAGAGUUCCUGAGCUGUAUGCUGGCUGCAGAAAGUGUUCCCCACCAUUGCUGUCAGCAGUGCAAAACAGUCGAUGCUGUAGUCAGGUGCUUGGACUGUGUUCCCUCAGGAGUUCAGUUUCUCUGCGCAUCGUGUGACUUGAUAGUCCACAAAAAAUGUGUAUUCCAUGACAGAGAGGUCAUGGUUGAUGGUUUUUAUAAACCUAUUCCACCCACAUCCUCUGUGAAGAUGAGUGAAAGAGGUCAUCAUGAACUUGUCGAACAAGUAUGUCUGCUGCCGAUUCCUCCACCAACACAAAUCUGCUCCUGUGGCUGCAACCAAGACCUUGCCAUCAUACCAGGAAAGCAGACUGUCUUGGUGACAAUAAAUGGUAUGUCAUGACUUGUUACUACUUUUUGUGUCCUAUCUGGGUCAUGAUAUAUGUAUUUUUGUUUU